rnacentral:lncRNA from 1 species
GAAAAAAACGUUACAAUAGAAUCAAAUUUUCGUUAAAAAAUUUGAAAGGGCUGUAUAAACAAAGGUCUUUUGCAACGUCACAACCAGGCGUUGCACUAGAUGAGAUUUUUGGGGCCAAAAAUAUUGGCGGGCCAAGGAAAGUAAUAGUGGCGGGAUAAUGAAAAAUUAAAAUUGCCGGGGUUAAUUAAAAAAACAAACAAAAUAAAGGAGUUACCUAAAACAGAACCCACUCAAUUAACCUCAUAAACACCAGACUAGAAGCUGGCCAUGGAGAGAGAAUACAAAUGCGACAGAGAGAAACGAUUGAAGAAGGCGAGAGAAGGAUCGAAGAAGGCUGGUGAUAGAUGGAUCAAUCUUCUUUCCGUAAUAACUUGAACUUGAGGUAUGUAAUGGUUUAGAUGUGUUUUUAAUUGAGUUUG